rnacentral:pre_miRNA from 1 species
GGAAUAUAAGAAACCGUCUUUUAACUUUUAACUAAAAAAACUAAAAAUCGGUUCUUAAAUAAGAGUUUUAAGAGCUGGUUCUUAACUUUUUUAGUUAAAAACUAAAAAACGGAUUCUUAUAUUCC